rnacentral:lncRNA from 1 species
UGCUUAAUAAAUUACGGAAAUUUAUGGGCUUUGAGUGGAGUUUUUUUUUCUUCUUUCGGUUAAGGAUAAUGGAAGAACAUUAAAUUAAUAACAGUGAAAAUCUUAAUGACAGUAAAUGUUUGGAAUAAGGGACAACCGCAACUUAAAGAAGGUAUUAAAACUUCACAAAAAGACUUGGCCAAGAAGGCAGCAACCUAGUGACUAGUGAGAAUAUGUCACCGUUCGAUAAAGUUGCACUUAACUGAUGACGAUUAAUAAAU